AUUGAACGCUGGCGGCAUGCCUUACACAUGCAAGUCGAACGGUAACAGGUCUUCGGAUGCUGACGAGUGGCGAACGGGUGAGUAAUACAUCGGAACGUGCCUAGUAGUGGGGGAUAACUACUCGAAAGAGUGGCUAAUACCGCAUGAGAUCUACGGAUGAAAGCAGGGGAUCGCAAGACCUUGUGCUACUAGAGCGGCCGAUGGCAGAUUAGGUAGUUGGUGGGAUAAAAGCUUACCAAGCCGAAGAUCUGUAGCUGGUCUGAGAGGACGAUCAGCCACACUGGGACUGAGAAACGGCCCAGACUCCUACGGGAGGCAGCAGUGGGGAAUUUUGGACAAUGGGCGCAAGCCUGAUCCAGCAAUGCCGCGUGCAGGAUGAAGGCCUUCGGGUUGUAAACUGCUUUUGUACGGAACGAAAAGCCCCGGGUUAAUACCCUGGGGUCAUGACGGUACCGUAAGAAUAAGCACCGGCUAACUACGUGCCAGCAGCCGCAGUAAGAC
rnacentral:rRNA from 1 species